rnacentral:rRNA from 1 species
UAAUUAGGAGAGGAAAAGAAUUAACUAAGAUUCCCUUAGUAGCGGCGAGCGAAAUGGGAAAAGUCCAGCAUUAAGUCCUUCUAUUGAUGAUCGGUAGAAUGGAUAUUCAAUGUAAAGGAGUAUCUAUCCACUUAUGCAUUUUGAUUAUAUGUUCAAGUCCAUCUUGAAUGGGGCCAUUUACCCACAGAGGGUGCCAGGCCCGUAGUGACUAUAGUUUUGUGUAAGAAGAUAUCUCUAGAGAGUCGUGUUGCUUGAUAGUGCAGCACUAAGUUGGUGGUAAACUCCAUCUAAGACUAAAUAUAACCACGAGACCGAUAGCGAACAAGUACCGUGAGGGAAAGUUGAAAAGAACUCUGAAUAGAGAGUUAAACAGUACGUGAAACCACUAAGAGGUUAAACCCAAUGAACCCGAACUUGUAAAAGAAGAGAUUCAUUGAUACAAUAAUUGAUUUUAUCAAUAAAUUGUAUCAUGCACUUUUCUUCUAUUAUCGCAUUGCGAUGUGUUAUCAAUAUACUACAUUUGUAGAUAUUUGUCAAUGAUUUUAUAUGCAGCUCCUUUCGCAGUCACUUGUGAAUGUUUCUUAAGGAACUAUAAAAAUAUCUGCCAAUAUGAUGACACAUGUAUCUGAUCGUACAAGCAUAUUUGCGCAAAAUUGUAACGGUUUAUUUCAAUAAAUGCAGUUUCAGUAAACGAUCUUAUCGGCAAUGAAAUGAUUUGGGAUACCUUUGGGACCCGUCUUGAAACACGGACCAAGGAGUCUAGUAUAUGUGCGAGUCAUUGGGCUUUUAAGCCUAAAGGCAUAAUUAACGUAACUAAUAUAUGGGAUUACAUGUGAUUGUAUAUAAUUGCAUCUUCAUCCAUGGGCGUUUUAAUCAACUCAUAUUACUUAUGUUUUAUGAGUAAAAGCGUACUGUAAGCAUAUAUACUGUGACCCGAAAGAUGGUGAACUAUACCUGAUCAGGUCGAAGUCAGGGGAAACCCUGAUGGAGGAUCGUAGCAGUUCUGACGUGCAAAUCGAUUGUCAGAAUUGGGUAUAGGGGCGAAAGACCAAUCGAACCAUCUAGUAGCUGGUUCCCUCCGAAGUUUCCCUCAGGAUAGCUGGUGCAUAUUAAUAUUUGGGUAAAUAGUCUUAUCUGGUAAAGCGAAUGAUUAGAGGAAUUGGGGCCGAAACGACCUCAACCUAUUCUCAAACUUUAAAUGGGUAAGAUCCUCGACUUUCUUGAAUGAAGUCAUCAGAGGUUCUUUAAUGAUAUAUUGUGCCUAGUGGGCCACUUUUGGUAAGCAGAACUGGCGCUGUGGGAUGAACCAAACGUUAUGUUACGGCGCCAAAAUUAAUGACUCAUUCAGAUACCAUGAAAGGUGUUGCUUGCUUAAGACAGCAGGACGGUGGACAUGGAAGUUGUAACCCGCUAAGGAGUGUGUAACAACUCACCUGCCGAAGCAACUAGCCCUUAAAAUGGAUGGCGCUCAAGUCAUAUGCCUGUACAUAACCGAUAUGGCAAAUUUAAUUAUACUAUUAAAAUCAAGUCAUAUCGAGUAGGAGGGUACAAUGAUAUGCAUUGAAGUGUUUGGUGUAAGCCUGCAUGGAGCUGUCAUUGGCACAGAUCUUGGUGGUAGUAGCAAAUAAUCGAAUGAGAUCUUGGAGGACUGAUGUGGAGAAGGGUUUCGUGUGAACAGUGAUUGAUCACGAGUUAGUCGGUCCUAAGCUCUAUGCGAAAGCUGUCGUAAACUAGAAUAUUUUUUAUUAUUUUAACAUAAAAAAUAAUUCAUUGAGAGCGAAAGGGAAUACGGUUCCAAUUCCGUAACCUGUUGAGUGUACGCUUUUAAGAUUGGAUAUUAACAUGUUAUGAUGAAUAUUCAUCCUGGUAACAGGAAUUGCCGUAGAGACGCCGUCGGGAUAUACCGAAAGAGUUUUCUUUUCUGUUUCAUAGACAUACUACCAUGGAAGUCUUUCGCAGAGAGAUAUGGUAAAAAGUCUAGAAGAGCAUGACAUUUACUGUUGUGUCGGUAUUCUCCCUUCGGACCUUGAAAAUCUAUGGAAGGGUUACGCAAAUUCUCAACAGCCCGUACCGAUAUCCGCAGCUGGUCUCCAAGAUGAAGGUCUCUAGUCGAUAGAUUA